GAUAGGCCGUGGGGUAAUUAAUGGCUCAUAGUAAUUAGGAGCCACCUACUACUAGUUUACUACUAGGAGCAAGUUACUAUUUAAUUACUGCCAGGACCAAUUUGAUACUAGGAGCAACCUACUCCUAGAUUACUAUUAGCAUCGAUCUAGUUACUAUUAGGAGCAACCUACUAUCUAGUUACUAUUAGGACAAUUUAUUAUUUAAUUAGUAUUAGGAACAAUUUAAUGUUUGAUUACUAUUAUUAACGAUCUAGUUACUACUAGGAGUAAUCUACUACUUAAUUGGUAUUAGGAACAAUUUAAUAUUUAAUAUUAUAAACAACCUCGUUACUAUUAGGAGUAAUUUACUAUUCAGUUAGUUUUAAAAAUAAACUAUUAAUUGAUUACUACUAGGAACAACUUAAUUACAAUUAGGAGCAGUCUACUAUUUAAUUACUGUUAGGAGCAAUCUAAUUGCAAUUAGGAACGAUUUAUUACUCCUUGAUUACUACUAAUGUUACUAGCUGUAGUUAAUUAUCAAUUUUUAUCUACAACCGCUACUCAAGAGUAAUUACUACGAUUGGUUUUUAUUAAUUAGUUAUUUUUGUGAUUAGUUUUAGAAAAUUACUGUAGAUAAUUGGUAACGGGGGUUGUAGCGAUGAGUCAGCGUUAAUUAGUCGUUAUUGGUGGUAAUUUGGGGUGAAUUCUGCUGGUAACGGGGUUGUAGCUGCGGGUUGCACGUUUGUUUUUUUUUGGCCAAAACCUGCAGAAUUGUGUUGGGAUGGGGCUUCGAGUGCCCAAAAAUGAAGGAUUUCACCCCAAAAAUGAAGGAUUCCCCCC